rnacentral:rRNA from 1 species
GACGAACGCUGGCGGCGGGCUUAACACAUGCAAGUCGAACGAACGCCUUCGGGCGUUAGUGGGCGCACGGGUGAGUAACACGUAGGCAAUCUACCCUCGGCUGGGGAAUAACCAGGGGAAACCCUGGCUAAUACCGCAUAACAUCUGGACGUCGCCUGGCGACCAGAUCAAAAGCUUUAUGUGGCCGAGGAUGAGCCUGCGUCGGAUUAGCUAGUUGGNGGGGUAACGCCUACAAGGCGACGAUCCGUAGCGGGUCUGAGAGGAUGAUCCGCCACACUGGCACUGAGACACGGGCAGACUCCUACGGGAGGCAGGCAGUGAGGAAUAUUGCGCAAUGG